rnacentral:rRNA from 1 species
AUCGUUCACAUCGACUUACCGAUUGCCACUCCUCAAUUGGACGCAUAUUCGAACGCCUCUAAUCUGCUCCAAACGUGGAUAGCGAGUGGCGUACUGCAGCGCGACGAAGCACCUUCACUGACCCUGUAUCGAACUUCAUUCACCGACGCAACUGGUAAGCAUCGCAACAUCGUCGGCGUGAUUGGCGCUCUUGAAGUUGUUGAUGAAGGCGCUGGCGGCGUUCUUCCGCACGAGCAAACCACCCCUAAGGCCAAGACAGAUCGCCUUGAUUUAACUCGUGCAACAGAUGCCAAUCUUUCGCCCGUCUGGGGACUCUCAAACAAAAUCGGAUUAAGCGCCCUUCUUGCCGCGCCAGGUGAACCAGUUGGUUCUAUUAUCGACGCCGAAGGCGUGAUCCACAGCGUCGAAAGAGUUGUAGACAAAGGGCGUAUCGAGGCGAUUUGCGCUGCCGUGAGUUCUAGCCCGGUCGUCAUCGCCGACGGACACCACCGAUACGCAAUCAGCAGAACGUUCCGAGACGAAGCUCGUGAACGAACUCAAUCGAAAGAUACUGGCGCCGAACUUACGCUCACCUACAUCAACGAGUUGGUUGAGGAGCAACUGAGCGUCGCCGCUAUUCACCGCUUCUACAACGGCGCAACAGCAGACGAACUGCGAGCCGCGCUCACACGGUUCUACGCAUUUGAAGCGGCACCAUCCAUUGAUGACAAAACUCUUCAGGAGAUGAACAAGCGAGGAAGCCUCGUGUUCAUUGAUGAACAAUUGAAGACUUCAUGGAUGACGCCAAGGCUUGGGGUAUUCGAUUCAAUUCGAGCCCUAGACAGCGCAAGGCUCGAAUACGCGUUGGCCGGUGUUGACCACACUGUCGGCUAUCAACAUGGCGCGACGGAAGUGCAGGAACUUGUUAUGAGCGGAAAGGCAACAGCUGCAAUCCUCAUCAGACCUGUGAGUGUGGAAGAGAUUAAACGUACAGCGAACGAAGGUCUGUUGAUGCCGCCAAAAUCGACGUUUUUCACGCCGAAAUUGCGCACCGGUUUGGUAAUUCGAGAGUUGAAAACUCGCUAGUUACGCAACGCCCAGUGUUGCCAAACGAUCACGCACAUCUGAGAAGUUUGAGUCGUUUGCAGCAAUUCUUUGGAAGAUUGAACGGGCGUUGAUUAGAUCACCUGAACGGUCGUACAGAUCGGCAAGCACAUACCAUUCGCGUAGGUGGUGUUCGCGAACUUUUGCGGGAUCCUGCUUGGCGAGCUGCAUCAAUCGAACUGCUGCCUGAACGUCGCCCUUGUCGGCCAAUGCACCGGCUGCAACUAUGCGACCUUCGGCAAUGAUUUCUGGAUCUGGUGAUGCUUCUUUAAGUUCGCGCCACAAUUCAUCCACCUUUUCAUAACGCAUUAAUGCGCGGUAACAGUCGGCAAGAACCGGGUGGUUGAGAACUUCGCCACCCGAAACUGCACGAGCUUGUUCAAGAUGAUCCGCAGCGUCACGCCACUGGCCCAAUCGGUACAGAGACAAACCAGCAAUCUCGUGAAUCAGUUUGAUGCCUGGGCAAUCGCGGGACACUGGAAUGAUGAUGCGCUUCGCAUCUUGCCAGCGCUCACGUUCAAACGCGUCGAGCGCAAGUGCAAGUUUCGCAGUGAGACGCUUUGCAGCAACAUCGCCGACAACCGAAUUGAUCUUCUUACCAACGGUUGCUUCGAUGUGUGCGAGAGCUGCAGCACUGGCGCGUUUUUCAUCGCGCUCUGGUGCGUCGUACACCUCUUCUACGCGAGGCUUUGAACGACGCGCAGGGCGAACCGAACCUUCGUCCUUCCAUUCGGACGUGGUGUGCUCCAUGCGCGGCAUGUCAUCACGGUCGUAUUUACGACCACCGGUACGACGACGAACUUCAUCUGCCUUGCGUUGCGCAGCGGUCUGAGGAAUUACUGGACUCUCAUCAUCUCGGAACGGCCGACCGCGACCCUCUGUUGGCCGACCAAAUGCUGGGCGACCACGACCUUCGCUUGGACGGCCACGGCCCUCAGCCGGACGACCUCGCCCCUCGCUCGGACGUCCUCUACCCUCACUGGGGCGCCCACGACCUUCCGUUGGUCGACCAAAUGCAGGUCGACCACGACUGGACGAGCGCUCAUCAAAACUUCUCGGACGCGAAGGACGAUCGCUGUCGCCUCUUGGGCGCGAUGGACGAACAUCUGCGCUGCGUGGACGUGACGGACGAUCGCUAUCGCCUCUUGGGCGUGACGGACGAUCAUCUGCGCUCCGUGGACGAGGGGCUCCGCCAUCUUCGCGACGUGGGCGUGCAGGUCGAUCGUCAAACUUGCGUGGGCGGCCAGCGCCACCAGCCGACGGGCGACUUGGGCGAUCUUCAAACUUGCGCGGGCGAGCUGCUCGGUCCCCCUCUGAGCGCGGACGCAAUGGGCGCUCAUCAUCGCGGCGAGGACGCGAAGGACGGCUGUCGUCCCGGCGUGGGCCACCUUUUGCGCUAGUUGGGCGUGAUGGACGCGCCGAACGAGGGGCGUCUCCGUCUUUACGUGGGCGACGGGGACCGCGAUUAUCAGGUAUAGGCACCUAUCAAUACUACCGCCGUGUAGUUCGAUAACGGAGAUAAGCGUGAGAACGACAAAGGCCCCGCGCUUUCGCGCGGGGCCUUUGCUUUUCGAUUAAUCCUGGCGGCGACCUACUCUCCCAGGGGGUCUACCCCCAAGUACCAUCGGCGCGGGCGGGCUUAACUUCCGUGUUCGGAAUGGGAACGGGUGUGACCCCGCCGCUAUGGCCACCAGAAAUCAGUUGUCAAUUUGAGACGACGCGAUAUAUCGCGUUCGAGCCUCAAGGACUCCAGAGCAAGCACGAGCAUAAAAUCCAAGCCCUCGGCCGAUUAGUACCGGUCAGCUGAAGAUGUUGCCAUCUGUACACUUCCGGCCUAUCAACGUGGUGAUCUAGCCACGGGCCUUACUGCAUUAACUGCAUGGGUGAGCUCAUCUUGGAACGGGCUUCCCGCUUAGAUGCUUUCAGCGGUUAUCCCUUCCGUAGGUGGCUAAUCAGCCGUGCCCUUGGCAGGACAACUGACACA